UACGGAGGGUGCAAGCGUUAUCCGGAUUCACUGGGUUUAAAGGGUGCGUAGGCGGAUAGGUAAGUCCGUGGUGAAAUCCUGCAGCUUAACUGCAGAAUUGCCGUGGAUACUAUCUAUCUUGAAUGUCGUGGAGGUUAGCGGAAUAUGUCAUGUAGCGGUGAAAUGCUUAGAUAUGACAUAGAACACCCAUUGCGAAGGCAGCUAACUACGCGAUAAUUGACGCUGAUGCACGAAAGCGUGGGGAUCAAACAGG
rnacentral:rRNA from 1 species